GGGAUAUAGCUCAGUUGGUAGAGUAUUUGCCUCUCAUGCACAAGGGUUCAAUCCCUAGCACCA
rnacentral:tRNA from 1 species